UGAGCGGUAGCCAUCUGGGAGUCCAGGGAGAGAAAAAGUCGAUGGAGAGUGGGCAGGCAGGUUGCCAAGUCACAGCUAAAAUCUGCAGUCGACACGCCAGCAUGUAGAUGAAGCCGUAUGUUUUCUGAGUGUCAUGGGUGGAGAAUUGGAUGGACUCACCUGUGUGCAGUCUUCACUGAUGACAUCCUGGUGUUACUUAAGCCGCCUUCUGAGAUCCAUCCAUCGCUGGAAUAUUCAAUCAGUCAGCUUCUGUACUGUGUAUGACAGCCAGAGUUACGCCUUCGAUGAAUGAUUUGUGUAACCAAGUUUGUUUUUUGUGCUAACCUGUGUCCAGGAUUGAACCCCCGAGUCAAUGACACAUUGCCUCAGGUUUCUUCCUUGUCACUGUUCAUACUCUUCUAGAGCUUGAGUAGAUUCUCCAGUGUGUCCUCUGCCCCGCCUCUCUCCAACGAAAAC